rnacentral:rRNA from 1 species
UACAGAGGUCUCAAGCGUUGUUCGGAUUCAUUGGGCGUAAAGGGUGCGUAGGCGGCGCGGUAAGUCGGGUGUGAAAUCUCGGGAGCUUAACUCCGGAAACUGCAUUCGAUACUGCCGUGCUUGAGGACUGGAGAGGAGACUGGAAUUUACGGUGUAGCGGUGAAAUGCGUAGAUAUCGGGAGGAACACCAGUGGCGAAGGCGACUACCUGGCCUGUUCUUGACGCUGAGGCGCGAAAAGC